CUGGCGGCGUGCCUAACACAUGCAAGUCGAACGGGAUCUAAGCAGUAGUUUACUACAGUUUAGUGAGAGUGGCGGACGGGUGAGUAACGCGUGGGUAACCUGCCUUUCGGAUGGGGAUAGCUCCGGGAAACCGGAAUUAAUACCGAAUGUAGUUAAACUAUCACAUGGUAGAAUAAUGAAAGAUUUAUCGCCGAAAGAUGGACCCGCGUCCCAUUAGCUAGUUGGUGAGAUAAUAGCUCACCAAGGCGACGAUGGGUAGCCGGCCUGAGAGGGUGAACGGCCACACUGGGACUGAGACACGGCCCAGACUCCUACGGGAGGCAGCAGUGGGGAAUAUUGCGCAAUGGGGGAAACCCUGACGCAGCAACGCCGCGUGAACGAAGAAGGUUUUCGGAUCGUAAAGUUCUGUCAGAGGGGAAGAAUAAUGACGGUACCCUCAGAGGAAGCCCCGGCUAACUACGUGCCAGCAGCCGCGGUAAUACGUAGGGGGCGAGCGUUGUCCGGAAUUACUGGGCGUAAAGGGCGUGUAGGCGGUUUUUAAGUCAGGCGUUAAAUUCGGGGCUUACCCCGGAGUGCGUUUGAAACUGGAGAACUUGAGUACUGGA
rnacentral:rRNA from 1 species